UACGGGGGGGGCAAGCGUUGUUCGGAAUUACUGGGCGUAAAGCGCGUGUAGGCGGCUCUUCAAGUCGAGUGUGAAAGCUCCAGGCUUAACCUGGGAAUUGCGCUCGAUACUGUUGAGCUAGAGUGUGGAAGGGGCUACUGGAAUUCCGUGUGUAGCGGUGAAAUGCGUAGAUAUAACGGAGGAACACCUGCGGCGAAGGCGGGUAGCUGGGCCAACACUGACUGAGACGCGAAAGCUAGGGGAGCAAACGGG
rnacentral:rRNA from 1 species